UCUAAUGGAUGAGCAAAGCAAGUAGUUUCUUGAGAUGGAAUCUAUUCCUGGUGAAGAUUCUAUGAA
rnacentral:pre_miRNA from 1 species